UUCCUCAUUUUUCCCAUUUUCCCGAGUUUUCCCUUAUUUUCUCUUAUUUCUUUGUUUUUCUUGGUUUUUAAAGAUUUGAACAAUAUCAACGAAUCAAAAUUAUUUUUUUAUUUCACUUUUGAUAAAAAAGGAGUAACAUCACACACAACAUUGUCUGGAUAUGAAAUCAUUUGACAGGACGGGAUGGUGGGCGGAGAAAUUUUCCUCGAUCCUUUUACUUGUCCCUCAAAUGUGUACCAUGUGCAAUUUACUCCUAUUUCAUCAUUUUUUUUCUCACUUUAGCUUUGCCAUUCGUAAAUUGACUUUUGUUUGCUAUCCGCAAAUGAAUUGAACUGAAGAACGCGUCCUAGAAGAAAUAAAU